UGGUGGCCCUGGCUGGUUUCGAUCCAGCUACCUAUCAGUUAUGAGCUGACAGCUCUCCCAUUGAGCUACAGGGCC
rnacentral:tRNA from 1 species